rnacentral:rRNA from 1 species
AAAGGCCUGCAGCUUGCUGCGGGUACUCGAGUGGCGAACGGGUGAGUAACACGUGGGUGAUCUGCCUUGCACUUCGGGAUAAGCUUGGGAAACUGGGUCUAAUACCGGAUAGGACAGCUGUUUAGUGUCAGUUGUGGAAAGUUUUUUCGGUGCAAGAUGAGCUCGCGGCCUAUCAGCUUGUUGGUGGGGUAAUGGCCUACCAAGGCGUCGACGGGUAGCCGGCCUGAGAGGGUGUACGGCCACAUUGGGACUGAGAUACGGCCCAGACUCCUACGGGAGGCAGCAGUGGGGAAUAUUGCACAAUGGGCGGAAGCCUGAUGCAGCGACGCCGCGUGGGGGAUGAAGGCCUUCGGGUUGUAAACUCCUUUCGACAGGGACGAAGCGUAAGUGACGGUACCUGUAUAAGAAGCACCGGCUAACUACGUGCCAGCAGCCGCGGUAAUACGUAGGGUGCGAGCGUUGUCCGGAAUUACUGGGCGUAAAGAGCUCGUAGGUGGUUUGUCGCGUCGUCUGUGAAAUUCCGGGGCUUAACUCCGGGCGUGCAGGCGAUACGGGCUGACUUGAGUGCUGUAGGGGAGACUGGAAUUCCUGGUGUAGCGGUGAAAUGCGCAGAUAUCAGGAGGAACACCGAUGGCGAAGGCAGGUCUCUGGGCAGUAACUGACGCUGAGGAGCGAAAGCAUGGGUAGCGAACAGGAUUAGAUACCCUGGUAGUCCAUGCCGUAAACGGUGGGCGCUAGGUGUAGGGGGCUUCCACGUCUUCUGUGCCGUAGCUAACGCAUUAAGCGCCCCGCCUGGGGAGUACGCCGCAAGGC